UUCUUGAAGACUUUAGAGACUUCAGGACUGAAUGUGACCAUGGAGGAUGUGCCAAACACAGACCACUUCAAUAUCAUUGAGCAGCUGGUAGAUGGGGAGUAUCACCUAACAAAGCUUCUCUUGAAGAUGAUGGGAAAGAGCUGAGGUGUCUUCGAUUCGUCAUCUAAUAGUAACAUACCUCUGAAUGAAUACACCCCCCCAGUAUAUAUAAUAUGCAUUAUUUCAGACUCGCACUGUGUUAAAUGUACAAUCUAUCCAUUUUGAAUGAUUAAUACUAAUAUGGCACAGAUUGUUUUGAACGUCUAGUUUACUGUUUCAUUGUUUUUUCUGAACUUUGUUCAUGGUAGUUACUGUGCCUAAACAGGCUCAAUAUGUCCCAACCACAUUAACACGUAGCAAAAACAUUGUGUGCCUCAAGCUGAACUACUUCAAGGAUGGUGAUUGUAGCAAAUCAUACAACUGAUAAACUGCUGAUAUUCACUUGUAAGCGGUGACAAUCUGCACCACGACUUGAAGUCAUCAGAAAGGACAAUCACAGCUUAGCGACAUACCCUACAUAGUGAAUGAAGAUUUUCAUUGCAGCCCCGCAGUGAUGAUGUGUUAUGCAGGGGAAAUGAAUGUGUCAUCCACACAUGGUUAAGUGUUGAUUAAAUUUUUUUUUUAUUUGCACUUUUUAUUUUACAUUAACACAGAAAACUGAUACUUAAACAGACAUAUCUAAAAUAAAUGUGAAUAACUGAUGCACAUUGUUAAACCCUGCCCUCAUUCUAGCAUCUUUAUUCAUUGUUUGCAUCAUUGUUUAUACAAUGUUCUGUUACUCAUCACUGUAGAUUAUUGAGAAUUACCACAAUAAAUGUUUUAUUUGUGAAUUUA